GAAUUUUGGACAAUGGGCGAAAGCCUGAUCCAGCAAUGCCGCGUGCAGGAUGAAGGCCUUCGGGUUGUAAACUGCUUUUGUACGGAACGCAAAGCUUUGGGUUCAUACCCUGGAGUCAUUACGGUACCGUAAGAAUAAGCACCGGCUACCUACGUGCCAGCAGCCGAGGUAAUAAGUAGGGUGCAAGCGUUAAUCGGAAUUAUUGGGCGUAAAGGUUGAGGAGGGGGUUGUGAAAUGAAAAGGUGAAAUCCCGGGGACAAACCUGGGAAAUGCCGUGGGGAAGGAAAGGGUAGAGGACGGCAGAGGGGGGUGGAAGUGCGGGUGUAACAGUGAAAUGCGUAGAUAUGCGGAGGAACACCGAUGGCGAAGGCAACCCCCUGGGCAUGUACUGACGCUCAUGCACGAAAGCGUGGGGAGAAAACA
rnacentral:rRNA from 1 species